AUGUUAUCUGUCAUUCACGAUGCAGAGGCGGGCCUGGAGGCCAUCCAUCCGGGACUCUGGGGAGAACUCUCCAAUCAGUGCUCAGAGGGAGAGGAAGGGCGGGCUUCCGCAACCUCGCGGGCUUUUCUUCCUCAGCGACUCCGCUCCUCAUCCUUCAAGCUGAGAGUUCUCUGCUCCAGGGACUCAGGUGACUUUGUGCAGCCUGUGUCCCCCCUCCUCUCCCCCCCCAUCUCGGGUCCCUGGAGGUUCCUCGGGAGGACGCCGGGUCACCACAGAAAACAAAAAUGGUGAGUUUGAGACCAAGGCUGAAGGUACGUGUCACCCGGCGUACGGGUGAGCUGGGGAUGGCUGCGGAGUCCCUGCUGGCGGGUGGCCCUGUCCCUUGGUCUCAUGGGGUGAGCUUGGUUUUGGGUUUUUGAGGUGAGCUGCUGAACAUGGCAGAGUCCCCGCUGGAGGGUGGCCCUGGACCCUGUCCCCUGGUUCCCUGGGUUUGGAAGGGCAGCUCAGGUCCCUGGUGUCCCCUUUGCUCCCUGCUGGUGGCCCAACCCACUCUUCCCAACUUGUAGGAAGCAGGGUCACAAAUGCACCUUCCUUCUCCCAGUGGAGCUCCUCUGGAAGCUGCAGUAGGUCCUCCAAAUUGCAGGCGCCUCCUGCCCUCUAAAACACCACCUUCCCUCCACCUCACAGCUUACCCAGACGUUCAUUCUUCCCACUGGGUUCAAAUGGACACCGUCCGCUAAUUGUCACUUUUCAUCUAGUGAAAUAUUGGAAAUAAUAUUUCUUUUCUUUUAAUUGGGGAUCCAAACUCGGGGAGCUUUAUCAGCAAAAUCCCCAGCCUCCACUUUUACUGAAUUUUGUGAUCUGCACCCACUUGUUGUGGAAGCUGGUCUCCAACUUGUGAUCCUUCUGUUACUGCUGUUUACCAGUGAUGAGUCCUUGCUUCCCUGAAUGCUGAAGUAUAACACCAGAGAAGUACAUCAAGGCAAAUGUAGCAUGGAAAGUAGAAGGUUUAUUAAAGGACAGCAGAAAAGACUUCUCCCCACAGGUAGAAGGGGACCCAAAAGGUGGAAUCCCUGUGAGAGGGGAGUCUUCCCUCUUUUAUAGCUAAAGUCUUCUUUCCGCUUUCCUACAAUUUGUUUUUCAUUAUGUUGCAGUGAUAGAAUGCAGGUGGGAAGAUCCAAAAGGUGGGAGAUAGGUGGGAUGGAGGAAUAAUCUGGGCAGGAAGGGCCUGGGGUGGCUUUUGGAUUAGCACUUCCCUGUUUGCUGGGAACUGUUUCAUUAACAGUUCCUUACAAUGGAUACAGGCCUUGGGGACAUUAACAUUUCAAUUGCAUCUCUGGUUUCCAGGACUCCAUUCUCUAUAAGGGCCUCUGUUUUAUACAUCUUACACAAUAUUAGACCCAAUUUGCCUAACUACCUAUCUGUAAAUCUGGCUUCUGCUUCAGCCUCCAAAGUUCCUGGGAUUACAGGCCUAUAUCCAGGGGGCAAAACUGUGACUUAUGCAGUCAAGGGGAGAAAUAGAGAAUGUCCACACACUUCUGUCCCUUUCAAUGCUUUAUUCACUCAAAUUACUGGAUACAGUUUAACUGUAUAGGUUCUUAAUCAAGAAAACAACAAUCCUUAAUGUAGGCACUGCAAUAGACAUAAUCAAUUGACAGCAAAAAAAUUCUAGCUUAAUUAAUUCACAGCAAACAAUUCUACAUUCAUUCUAAGCACUGCAAAACACACUUAAUCAUGACAGGCUAAUGACAGACAUUCCCUCUGCAUGCUAAGUUCAAAGGUCUUAUGUCUUAGGCUUUGAGUCCAGCAGAUGCACACUCACUCAGACCAUGGUGAUCAUGUCUGGAACCAAGGCAGGCUUUUCCUGGUGGAGUGGAUGACCAGUUGAGGGGGAGGUUGUAGAGAGGAGUUGCAGCUCUCACCAAGGUUCAGAGGAGGUAGUAGAGUUUGAGAAUGGUGAGGAUCUCCCAGGGACUCAGGAAAGAUGCCAAGUGAUGGGAUGUCAGGUCCUCAGCAGGCUCUCCAGCUUAAGUGCAUCCUUGUUUCAGCUGGCUGAAUUCCUGUUCAUCAGCUCUAUCAUUUAUACUAAAUUUUGGGGCUUUUGAUCACCCUUUCAAUCGUUAUCAGCUACCACCUUAUUUCUCAGUGACAUCAUUUACCCUGGGGUCAUCUCCACCCUGAUUUUCUUGCCUUUCCCUCUUAUCAGGCAAGGACAGCCUGCCACAGGCUUCAGGGUGAGGGGAAGUAACUUGUUUGAGGCCUUACUGGAGGGAUCUGUGGAUGUGCCUGGUGAAACUGAAGGUCUUUUAAAAUGAAGUUGCUUAGAUUCAGGCCUAAGGCCAUUUUAACAAGGCCUGUGCCACUGUCCCUGAUAAGAUGAACACUUUUGAAAGCAUUUGUUUUCUAUUUGUGAAUAUUAUACUUGAGGGGAAAGAAUAAUCACUUAACAGUUCCCUGUGUUUGGUCAAAAUAAUUACUUUAAAAGGAAAAAGGCAUUUGUUUAUAGAAUCUAGGGAUAUUGAAUCUUGGGUUAUGUACCAAGCCCCCCUGCCCCACUUUGACAUAAAUUAUUUAUUUACUUAAAUUUGUUUUUAUUAGUUAUACAUGGCAUUAUAAUGCAUUUUGACACAGCACACAUAAAUAGAAUGUAACUGCUCCUUUUUCUGGUUGUACUUGAUGUGGAUUCACACCGGUCCUGUAGUCAUAUAUGCAUAUAGGAUAAUAGUGUUUAAUUCAUUCUUCUGUUCUUCAUCCCCAGCUCAUUAAAAUUGAUUUUCAGAUGGGGUCUGGCUAUGUUGCCCAGCCUGGCCUGUAAGUCCUCACCCUCCAGCUUCAGUUUCUCAAGCUGUUGACAUUAAAGGCAUUGGCAAUCCCAGCUAUGGAAAAUAGUUUAUUUUGAUCCAAAUAUUAAUGACCAUAUUCAGGAACAUGGAUUCAAGUGACCCUAAAUUAUGUAUGUGUCCCACCCUGAAAGACAAGGAUUGAACCCAGGGGCACUUAAUCACUGAACCACAAUCAGUUCUUUUUAAGUUGUAUUUUGAGACAUGAUCUCACCAAGUUACUUAUGGCCUCACUAAGUUGCUGAGGCUCACUUUGAAGUUAGCAAUCCUCCUACAUUAUCCUCUCAAGCUACUGGGAUUACACUUGUGUGGCACUGUGCCUGGCCUACAAGAACUUUUAUAAAAGAAACUGUAUCACUACAUGUACAAUUGCAUUGGUAGGAUCAUCAGAUUGGUGGCCUACAGAAAAAGAAAGAAAGGAAGGAAGAAAAAAGAAAUUUCUUCUGUUGUUAUUAUAUUCUUACUUUCAUAGAUGGUGGGGACUAGAUGUCUGGUAAGGGUAGUGAUAUAUUCUGAGAAAUUUAAUAGUUUUGAGAAUUGUGGUCUGAUACAGAAAUUAAGAUAAUUGGCUAUUAAAGGGCUUAAGAUAGCCCAAGAUAAUUUUUGCUCUCCAUAUAGAACCCUGCCUUUUCAUGCUCAUGGUGGUCUGGUUAGCCAAGUCAAGUACUCUGAAGGUUCUUUGAUGUAGAUGCAACUGUAUAGAGAACUUUUGUUCACAGCUGUAAAAAUCUUGUGCUUUUCCUUUUAUCUUCCUUAGGUGUAGACACCAUGUCAGAUUUCUUGGGCAGAGGUUCCCUUUGGACGCCUCACAGGGUCCCAUGUCCUCAGCCACUAUUCUCUCCUGGAGCUGCCACAAGGUUCCCACAGCCUCCCUGCAGGGUGAACAGAAUUUCAGGCCCUGGGUCAGCUCCUCCUAGAGGACAGCCUGAGAUGUGGGGUGCAGCCUCUCAGGGAAGCUGUUGGGGUCCCUGGGCUGAGGAAUCUCCUGGAACAGGCCUCCUCUAGACAGCUACUUCCUUGGGACAUUUUUUUUUCCCAAGAUCUGUUCCCAUUCCUUGGAGACAGGUGGACAGUCAGCCUGUGGAUGCUGGUGCUGAGGGGCCAGGUCACCAGUGAUUCCUGCCCUUUUAGUGUGAAGGAGCGAAACCUCUCCCAGAGCAUAAGGAACACCCACCUCAGUGCAGAGCUGUGCAAACCUGAAAAGCCUCAUAGACUGGAGUCAUGGUCUAGGUCCCUGGGAGUGUGAUCCUAGAGGCUUUCAGGAAGCAAGACCAGGAGGGGUCAAGUUCCAGAUGUCAGGGACCUUCCCUGACCCUUGAACCUGACACAUGUGUGCUCCUUCAUCACCAAAGCUUUCUGUGUAUCACUUUGAAAUGAUCUGCUCACUUUUUUGAGGCCCAGGUUUAUGUUUUUCAGAGCCAAAUGGGAUAGACUACUAUUAAAUAGACAAGAAAGAAAUGGAUUUUAAAAAGUCUAGUUACAUUUCCAUUGUUAAAAAAUUACAGCCAGGUACACUGGUGCACACCUGUGAUCCUUGCUGUUCCAGAGGCUGAGGCAGGAGGAUUGCAAACUUGAGGACAGCUUAGCAACUUAGCCAGGCCUUAUAUGUGGGGAUGUGACUUAUCAAUAAAGUUCAUCUGGGUUUAAUCUCUGAUCCCAAACCAAAGAAAAAGAACAGAACAGAAAAACAAACAAACAAAUAAACAAAAACAUCUAAUUUAUCUUUUGCUAUCCCUGAGUAUGCAUAGACAAUUGGUGAGAUUUGAUCUUGUCUUUUCAAUGAUUUCCAAUUGAAAUCCAUGUCCUAGAUUCCAGAAUGCCACUUAAGAUACAGAGCAACUCUGUCUACCAUUAUUGCUGCAGAAAAUGAAUCCAUUUCUACAAAAAUUGUGGUGGAUAAAUGUAUGAAUUUGAUUUUAUGUAAAUUAGUUACAGUUGUUGACAAGCUGAUGAAUUUGACAGGGGAUGACAGUUUGUUGUUGCCCUUGUUGCCUGGACUUGGCAGGUUCAUGUUAGCUGUGUGGUUUUUGGUAUCAGGAAUUGAACCCAGAGGUGCUUGGCCACUGAGCCACAUCCCUGGCCCCUUUUAGAUUCUUCCUUUUGAGUCUGGGUCUUGCUACAUCACCUUGGGCCUCUGACCCCUAAACCACUGGGGUUACAGAUGUGCACCAUCACACCCAUCUUCAUAAGAAGUUUUAAGGACAAUUUUGGCAAUACCUAAAAUACCCAACUGUGAUCAUUUAAUCAUUAAACAAUUUAUCAGUGAAAUAAUAAAUGACACAUGUUUUCUGAAAAGUAGAUAUAUAUAUAUAUAUAUAUCUAAGUAAGGUUGCUGAUCCUCUCACAAGCACUCCCACCAUGUCACCUGAUUCCUGUUCCCUCCUAAUUACCUCCUCCUAGGGCCACCCAAUUGGGAGCUGGCCUUUUAGCUUAUGAAACUUGGGAGUAAUAUAAAUGCUCUCUCUACUCUCUCUGUCCUGUACAAUAUUUUCACUGGUCUUAGAUACAGUGUACUAUUUUCAUUUUAGAUAUAGUUUUUCUUAAGUUCACCCAAAAAAACCCACAAUAAUCCAUGCCCUUAAUUUCACAUAAUUUACUGAAAUGCUCUUUGUUUUUUCAGAGAGUGUAGAUUAUGGGAAAGUUCAGUCUCCUUUGUAAGAAAGUGUGUUGUCUUUUCAUUGAUUUUUGUUGCCUUUCAUUGUGUAUCUUUUGUAUUAUAAUCUUUUUUAUCACUCAUUACAUAUAUUUUCAGGUUUUUGUUUUUUUCUUUGUGUGUGUGUGUGUGUGUGUGUGUGUGUGUGUGUGUAUGUAUGUACAUGGACUGUUGGGGAUUGAACCGAGGGCUAUCAAGUUCUUACUACUGAGCUACUCUCCACCCCAAGAAAAUUAGUAUUGUAGACUGUUGUUUACUUAUUUGCUUAUGUAUUGAGUGCUGGGAUUGAAGCCAGGGACUUGCUCAUGCUUAUGUUGUCCUCAAAAAAUGAAUUUCAAUGUGUGAACAACAUUUUGGAGGUGGGCAGGUGUUUUACUGGGGAAUAAACCUACAGGCACUUGACCACUGAGCACAUCUUCAGCCCUUCCUAUUUAUUUUGUACCUAUUUAUUUUAUUUGGUAUAGUUGUAGAUGGACAGAAUACCUUAUUUUGUUAAGUUUUCUGUGGUGCUAAGGAUCAUACCCAGUGCCUCAUACAUGGUAGCGAGUGCUCUGCCACUCAGCUACAAUGCCAGUCCCCCCAUUUAUAGUUGAUGUAGGCCAAGAAUCACAAAAUUUCUGGGUGUCUUGCUAAAUUCCUGAGAGAGCCUCCAACUUGCCGUUUCCCUGCCUUGACCUCCCUAGUGGCUAAAAUUACAGGUGCACACCAUCACACCAGCAGUUGGAAUGACUUUUGAGGACUUAUCAUCCAAUUUCUUUCCAGAUGGAAAUAGUAUUGAAAAUAAGUUUCUUUGCUUUUGUUCAUAGUUUUGAAAUUUGUAACUAUGACUCUUCUUCUUUGCUUUAUUUUUUACAUUAUUAUUUGGGAAAGGUAUUCAUUAUGUACUAUUUUUUCUUAUGUUUAUAUUUGUUAAAGUUUAUGGCAUCGUGGUUCAUUCACUUCCUUAUUAAAUUGAUUUUGUUUUUCAGAGCAAUUUUAAGUUACAUAGUUUGUUAGUCAGUGUUCUCUAGAGGAGCAGCAUCAAGAGGAAAUAUGACUAUAAAUGGGGGCUUAUUAGAUUGGCCUACCUGACCCAAAGCUGGAUGUCCACAGUGGCAGUCUGCAGCUGGAAAGCUUGAGAAGUAGUAGCUGCAGAGUCCAAGAGGCUGAAGCCUCAGAACAAGAGGGAUCAAUGGUGCUGCCCUAGUCCAAACCAAAGGUUCUGGAACCUCCUGGAGAAUCACUGGCACAGUCCACUUUGGGAGAGUGAAGAAGGCAGAGUCUGAUGUCCUCAGGCCAUUGCAGAAGCCAUUGGAGAAGAAAGGGGCUUAAUCUGCUGCUACUUUCUUCUUCUUCCAACUUUUGUUCCAUCCAAGACACUGUCCUAUUGGAUGGUGCUGCCUAUACCUAAGGAGGUUCUCCAGUUUGGUUUGCUAUCCCAUAUGCAAAUCAUUUGUAGACACACCCUCAUGGACACACCCAGAGGCCUCUUAAUCACAGGUAUCUCUUAAUCCAAUGGGGUUGACAAUUCAAAUGAGUCAUUACACAUAUUAUCAAACACCAUUUCUCCACAUUUUGCAUUGAUGUUGGAUGCUUGUUAGUUACUGACUCAGUGUCCUACAUUUUAUUAACAGAGUGGAUGAAGCAACACCUUAUCCUCAGCUGAAAUCCAUCCUUUAUCUUGGGGUUCCUCCUCUGUGUGGUGUGUUUUGUGUGUCACACACUCUACAUAAUAAUGUCAUACAGAAGAGUUUCAGUGCAUCAAUAAUGUUGUCUUUUCCAGAAUGUUCUUGACUUGGAAUCUUACUGCACUAGGCCUUUCAGACUGGCUUCUCUCACUUACCAGUCUGUAUUUAAGGGUGCUGUGUCUUUCCAGGCUGCAGACCUCAUUUUCUGGGUGAUGUUCUUUGGUGUGGUUAAACUGCAGCUUGUCCAUUCAGCAUUGAAAGGUGCAUCUUCCUUGCUUCUAGCUUUGGGCAGUUCUGGAUAUGGCUGCUGUAGUCACUGCUGAGAAGUUUUCUGUGCAUAAUUUUCACCUCAUUUGCAUAGACAACUGGGAGUGUGGUGAAUUAAUUGUAGAGAGCACCAUGUUUAUUUUGUAAGAGUGUGACUAUCUUCCAGAGAGAGUGUUCUUCUUUCCAUUCACAUGAGCAAGGGAAGGGUUCUUGCUGAUUCAUGUUUUCACCGUCUUUUGGAGCUUUUGGUGUUUGGCAUUUCACCACUCCAGUGAGUAUCUGGUGGCACCUCAUGUUCAUUUUGAAGUUUCCUAAUUAUAUGCUGGUGAACAUCUUCUCACACAUUAACUGUGCCUAUUUAUUGAAUGAGUGUCUUUCCAAAUCUUUUUCCCACUUUCGAGUUGGUUGCUUAUUUUUUUACUGAGUAUUCUUCAUGUACGUUGAAUACCAACCAAGUGUCACUAUGUGUUUUGACAACAUUUUGUCCAGUUCUCCAGCAUGUCUUCUUCUCAUUCUCUCAAGUGCAUCUUUUGAAAAACAGAAACUUCAUUUUGAUCAAGUUCUAUUUACAAGUUUUUCACUCACAGAUCAUGUGUUUGAUGUUGCAUAUGAAGCUGUCAUGCCAGCCCAGAUUUCUCUGUAAGUACUUCUUUGUUAUUUUAGUGAAGUUUGAAAUUUUGCAUUUGGUACUACAAUGUACAGGCAAUUUUUUUGGUGGCGACAAGUGAACCCUGGGCCUCCUAUGUGCCAAGCAGGUGCUUUGCUAGAGCUGCAGCCCCAGCUGUGUGUCCUACUUUGAGACUAAGGCUCCACUGAGAGCUCUGUGACAUUUGUGAAAUGAGAAUGUUUUGUUUCUCUGUAUGUUAAUUAAUGUCCAAGUGCUUUGGCAACAAUGUCCAAAAGAGUAUAUUUUCCAUUGAUUUUCCUUUGCUCCUUUGUCAAAGAUCAGUGGAAUAUUUUUAUACUGUGCCAAAAACUACUGUGUCUUGAUGAUUGUAGAUGUUUAGUAGUUGUUAACCUCAGGUAGUGUUCAUCCUGUGAAUUGAGUGUUCAUUACUGUGUUGGUUGUUCUGGAUCUUUUGAUGCUGAAAACAUAACUUAAAAAAAUUUUUAUUGGGAUUAUAUUGAAUCCAUGAAUGAAAUUGGUAAGAAUUGAUGGUAACACUGAGGCUUCCCACCUGUGAACAUAAAGUAUCUCCAUAUAUUUUCCUUGUCUCUGAUAUUUUUAUUAGAAUUUAGCAGUUUUUGUCAUACAGAUUUUUGUUAGAUUUAUAUAUGAGAUUUCUCUUUUAUUAAUGCUGCAUAAGUGAUGUGUGUUUGUUUUUCUUUUUAUUUUGGUGCUGGGUGUUGGACUCAGGGCUGUUCUACCAUUGAGGUACAUUCCCAAAACUUUUAAUUUUUUGUUUAGAAGCAGAGUCUUGCUAAGUUUCCCUGAUUGGCAAGGAUCACAGGCAUGGCCUCCAUGCCCAGCUUCAUAUUUAUUAUUUAGCUUUUUGUUGUGAUGUUAAUGUUAAUUGAUUUUUUAAUUCUGAAUCAGCCUUGCAUGUGUGCUGUGUUCCUGGGCCCUACAGAGGCCAAUGUGAGUGGAUCUGGGCCACUGGGCUUGACUUUCCACAGUAGUAUGCUGGUCCGUGGAUAAUGUUAACUGAGUUUUAAAUUUGGAAUCAGUCUUACAGAGCUGUAAUAAUUUCCUCUUGGCUGUGGUUAUAAUUCUUUUUAUUUAUUUUUGGAUUCAAUAAAGUUGUUUGAUGAGGAAUUUUGCAUUCAUGAUCAUGAGAGUCUUUCAUAGUUUUCUAUUUAAUACUUUUCUUUAUGUAAUUAAUUUUGAUAAUAUGGUAAAAUAUGCCAUAUAAAGAAUUAGAAUGUGGGCUGGGGUUGUGGCUCAGUGGUAGAGAACUUCCCUAUCAUGUACAAGGUCCUGGGUUCAAUCCUCAGCACCACAUAAAUAAAUAGGAUAAAGCUAUUGUGUUCAACUACAACUAAAAAAAUAAAUAUAAAAAAAAAAGAAUUAGGAAGUUUUAACUCAAUUUCUGUUGUCUGGAAAUAACAGUAGAAAAUUGGUGGCAGAUCUUAAGUGUCUCAUGGAAUCCUGUUUGAGAUGUCUUGCCUUUCCUUUUUUGGGGGGGGCGUGGGUAGUAAUUAUAUAUUUUUAAAAUUUUUGAAAUAUGUUUUAGCCUUUCAUGGUUAAAGGUAUAAUAAACAAUGUUUGUCUGUAAAACAGACGGAUGAAGUACCCUUUGCCACUUAGAUUUCAGUUUGCCUGGACCAUCAUUGUGAUCUGUCUCCAAGACACCUGCUGUCACUCAUACUUUUUCCAUGCUAUGAAGAACAGCCCACUAAAGGCUUUCUCUUGGGCUCCUACCAACCUCUGUUGAUAUUGUCCUGCUUCAAAUGUCAUGUGUCUUAAGUCCUUGAGCAUGGUUCUUUGUGAGUGGCAGGGUCAUGGUCUGUUAGGUGGUCCUUUUGGCUGUUCCACACUGUGCAGAAAUCAUAGCCUGCUUAGAGACCCAAGUGGAGUGACCUGUUUCACAAGCAGUCAGUGUGGGAUAGUUCAGGAUUCUGGGCUGCAAACCUGCUGCUUUAACACACCCUGGAAGUGCUUGUACCUGAGGUUUCCUUGCACCAGCUGUGUUAUAGGAAUGAGGAAUCUCUUUGAUGACAGACCACCAUUGUACAUGUGGCCUAUCUUUAUCAAAGUGUCCUUGAGCAGAACGGUGGUGUGUGUCUCAUGACUGUACAUUAUCUGAGUGAGACAUCUGCUGUUCAGAAGAAUUUGACAAUCAUUGGACAUUCAUGGUUGCCAUGAGCUUUGGGAAAGGAUUUUCUGCUGUAUGUUAAGAAAACUAUUUUUCAAACCAAUAUAGUUUUGUAAGGCUGUUGUUUGGACAAGGUGACAUCUUGGGGUCAUCGAGUUCUUUCAGGGACACAUGCCAUCUUUCCACACACCCCAUUCUGCUUUGACAUUAACCACCAGAAAUUAUUAUAUUGUUGUCUUUAUUAACCAAUGUGCUUGAUUACUAAUUGGGUAAAUUUGUUCGGGAGUAAAGCACCUGGAAGAUUGUCUAACUGUUGUCUAUGAGGGAAACUCUUUAGUGACUCCAUACUCUGAGGGUGUGAGUUGGGGCUGAUUCUAGGCACUUCUUUAAGGAUGGAACAAUUGACUUUCAGAAGGAAACAGGAGAUCAGUAAAUACCAUGUUGUCUAUAUUAACUGUGUAGGCCCAAUGAGCCACUGUGGUUGGUAGGAUCUCUCAAAUGCUGAGUUUUGUGAUCCCAGCAAUUUCCUACUCAAUCAGCUUUCUUUUCUAAGGGUAAGUAAUAUGGAGAGUGCUAAUAUUAGCUCUCUACUGCACAGGAUGUUGGUAAGAAGGAGAUACAAUCAACAAAUAAGAUAAGGGUGACUCAGGAGCCCCUCUUACUUCCUGUGAACUCACCACAGGAAGGGUGUACAACACUCUAGUAUUUACCUUGUGUGCGGCCCAAUUCUACUGUUGGAGUGACUGUGAAGUAUUAAAUGCACUGAAGAUUUCAAUGACCAAAUCAUGGAAUUAAUCGGGAGGCCAGGGAAUCAUGUGAACAUCAUGCAUGUUGAGUAUACAUUUCUCAUGCUGUCAAAUCUCUCCUGGCCGCCACUACACAUUUGUGGGAUAUUUUAGAUCUCAGUGACCUUUGAGGAUGUGGCUGUGAACUUCAUGCAGGAGGAGUGGGCUUUGCUGGAUGCUUCCCAGAAGAACCUUUACAGAGAUGUGAUGCUGGAAGUCCUCAGAAACCUGGCAUCUAUAGGUAAUAAUUUGUGUAUUUAUUUAAUUAGAGAAUUUGUGUUAUUUUUUUUUAUUCAUGUAGAACAUGAAAACACAAUCAGUUGGUGAAUUAUUGUAGCAUAAAAUUCACCUAGGAUUUGAAAAAUCAUUUCUAGCUCUUAAAAAUUUUAAAUGAUGUGGUUUGACAUUUUAGGAAAUAAAUGUGAUGAGAAGAACUUUGAAGAUCAGAUCAAACAUUCUGGAAGCAAUGUAAGGUAAUUGUACUCACAAGAGGAAUCCUUGAGGGAAUCUGAGAAUGCCAUAUAAUUUUUAAAACCAAUGCAAGAAAUUUGCACAACUUUAAAUGUAUUUAUUCUUAUAAGAUUUUUUACCAGAAAUAUAUACUUCACUGGGACUGGGGUUGUGGCUCAGUGGUAGAGCAUGCUUGAGGCACUGGGUUCUCUUCUCAGCACCACAUUUAAAUCAAUAAAGUCUAUUGACAACUGAAAUAAAUUAUAUAAUUUAACUGUAAAAGAUAUUCAGUCUUUUCAAAGUGCUUGACUUGCAGAAAGUAUUAUGAAAUUGCAUAUGUGAAUAUCACUAUUUGGAUAAUAACCAUAGGCAUGCUGUAUUGCAAAGCAUUGUUUCCUCUCAAUCUUUUUGUUCUGGCAAUUUGAACAAGUUUGAAUAACCUAGGCUUUACCUCAUGUUGGUAGUAACAUUAGCCUAGGACCUUAAAUAAAUACAACAUCAUGAAUUAAUCAAGUAUUAUUAAUGUGCUGGUCAUUCUUCAAAGAAGUCUUAUGCUAAACUUCAAAGGCAAAGAACAGUGUGGGGAAAGUUUCAAUGAGACUCCAAUUCUUAAGCAAAGAAAAAUUUUAAUAGAGUAAAUUCAUGUGACUGCAUUAUGUGUGCCAAAGACUUCAUAUGCCCUUCAUUCCUUCAUAGGCAGAUCACAUCUCAGUAUGGACACGAACGCUACAAGCAUGAAGAAUGAGAAGAGAAGCCAUGUGAAUUGAAACAAUACAGGGAAUCUCUGGUUUCUCUCAAAAGUGUUCACACACAAAUGUUAACACAAACUGGAGAUGGACCCUAUGAAAAUACAGUAUGUGGGAAAGUCAUCAGUUGUUCCAAUGACAUUCAAAGGCAUGAAGAUUCUCAUACUGGGUGGCAACCUGAUGAAUGUCAACAAUGUGAUGAAGUCUCUUCUCCCACAGGUGUUCAAAGACACACAAGAACACAUAGUGGAUGUAAACCUUUUCAAUGUGAGGUAUGUGGGAAAGCCUUUCAUUCCCCCACUUUAUAUAGAAAACAUGAAAGAACUCAUUCUGGAGAGAAAUCCCAUGAAUGUAAAGAAGGUGGUAAAACCUUGGUUUCACCCACAAGUCUUCACAGUCACAUGAUCACACACACUGGAAAAGUACUUUUUAAAUGUAACGUAUGUGGGACAGACUUUGCUUACCGAAGUUUAUUUAGAAUACAUCAGAGGAAACAUACUAGAGAGAAACCCUAUGAAUGUCAACAAUGUGGAAAAGCCUACACUACUUCAUCUUACCUUCAGAUACAUGAACAAAUCCAUAAUGGAGAGAAUCCCAAUGAAUGCCAACAAUGUGGAAAAGUCUUCACUACUUCUUUUUCCCUUCACAGACAUGAACGAACACAUACUGGAGAGAAGCCCUAUGAGUGUAAGCAGUGUGGCAAAGCCUUUGCUCAGUCCUCUAACCUUCACUCACAUGAAAAAACUCAUACAGGAGAGAAGCCCUAUGCAUGUCAACAAUGUGGGAAAGCCUUCAGUACUUCUUCCUACCUUCAGAUACAUGAGCAGACUCAUACUGGGGAGAAGCCCUAUGAAUGUAAGCAGUGUGGCAAAGCUUUUACUCAGUCCUCUAGCCUUCACUCACAUAAAAAAAAAAAACUCAUACAAAAAAGAAACCCUAUGAAUGUCAACAAUGUGGGAAAGCCUGCACUACUUUGUCUUACCUUCAGAUACAUGAACAAAUCCAUAUUGGAGAGAAGCCCAAUGAAUGUCAACAAUGUGGAAAAGUCUUCACUACUUCUUUUUCCCUCUGCAGACAUGAAUGGACUCAGAGAGGAGAGAAGCCCUAUCAAUGUCAACAAUGUGAUAAAGUCUACACUACUGCCUUUUACCUUCACAUACAUGAACAAACACAUUCUGGAGUGAAGCCCUAUGAGUGUAUGCAGUGUGGAAAAGCCUUUGCUGAAUCUUCUCAGCUUCACCAACAUCAACAAACUCAUACUGGGGAGAAGCCCUCUGAAUGUCAACAAUGUGGAAAAGCCUUUGCUAAAUCCAGUCACCUUAAGAGACAUGGAAGAACACAUACUGGAGAGAAGCCCUAUGAAUGUAAGCAGUGUGGCAAAGCCUUCGCUCAAUCCCAUCAUCUUCACAGACAUGAAAAAAAGCAUAUUGGAGAGAAGCCUUAUGAAUAUCAACAAUGUGGAGAACGCCUUGACACAUCCAGUGAACCUCACAUACAUGGAAGAAUUCAUGCAGAAGAGAAACCUAAUGAAUACCAACAAUGUGGAAAAGUCUUCAUUUCUUCCUUUUUCCUUCACAGACAUGAAGGGACUCACACUCAAGAGAAACCCUAUGAAUGUAAGCAGUAUCACAUAGCUUUCACUCAGUCCUCUCAUCUUUGCUCACAUGAACGAACUCAUACUGGAGAGAAGCCCUAUGAAUGUCAACAAUGGGGAAAAACCUUUCUUAUAUCCCAUCAGCUUCACUUACAUGAACAAACUCAUAUUGCAAAGAAAUUGUGCUGAUGAAAACAAUUAUCAAAGUCUUCUGUUAUCACUGUUCUUCUCAUCAACAAGUUGGAAGUAUACUGGAGAAAAAUUCUUUAAAUGUGAAAUGUGGUGAAUCAAUAUUUCUUGUCACCUUCAAACACAAAAAAAGGCUCACUCUGCUGAAUACUGUACUGGGGAUUGUACUGGAGUUUUGGUCUGGUGGCACUCUACCACUGAGACACAUGCUCAUUCUUUUUUUAUAUUUUUAAUUUUGAGACAGGGACUUGCUGAGUUCCUUAGGGUCUUCCUAAAAUGCUGAGGCUGGCCUCAAACUUGUGAUCCUUCAGCCUCAGCCUCCCGGUCUCUGGGAUUAAAGGCAUACAUCACCACAACUGUUUGAAUGUGAAAAAAUAUGUUGUCUUCAAAACCAUUUCACUCGCUGGAAAACAAACACUCUGAAUGGGGGCGAUUUGCUACAGUUUAUCAGCUUCAUGUUCCAGACCUAUUUUUCUUCUCUUUUAUGAAAAUACUCGUGGAGAGAAGCCCUGUGACUGUGAAAAAUGUGGGAAAUCUUUUAAUUUUUGCAGUUUAUUCUGAGUACUAGAAAGAUUAUUUUGGAAAGAUUCCUGCCAAAAUGAAUAAAUCCUAUGCAAGUAAGAAAUACAAAGGGUUCACUUGUUUUAGUUUUGUUCAGUUGUAUUAAAAACAAACAAACAAACAAAAAAAAAAACUUUAGAAAAUCCUGUGGAGGGCUGGGGAUGUGGCUCAAGUGGUAGCGCACUCGCCUGGCAUGCAUGCAACCCGGGUUCAAUCCUCAGCACCACAUACAAACAAAGAUGUUGUGUCCGCCGAAAACUAAAAAUAAAUAUUAAAAAAGAAAGAAAAUCC
rnacentral:lncRNA from 1 species